rnacentral:rRNA from 1 species
AGCGAACGCGGGCGGCGGGCCUAACACAUGCAAGUCGAACGAGGCUUCCGUGGUUAUCCGUGGGCGGCCGGGUAACACGUGGUAACGCGCCCUUAGGUUCGGGAGAACUCACUGAAACUUGUGUUAAUACCGAAUGUGCCCAUGGGGGGGAAGAUCUAUCGCCUUUGGAGCGGCCGGCGUCUGCUUAGCUAGUUGGUUGAGGUAAUGGCUCGCCAAGGCGACGAUCAGUAGCUGGUCUGAGAGGAUGAUCGGCCACAUUGGGACUGAGACACGGCCCAUACUCCUACGGGAGGCAGCAGUGGGGAAUCUUGCGCAAUGGGCGAAAGCCUGACGCAGCCAUGCCGCGUGAAUGAUGAAGGUCUUAGGAUUGUAAAAUUCUUUCACCGGGGACGAUAAUGACGGUACCCGGAGAAGAAGCCCCGGCUAACUUCGUG